GCUCAGGAUGAACGCUAGCGGCAGGCCUAACACACGCAAGCCGAGGGGUAAGUCUCUUUCGGGAGAACACGACCGGCGCACGGGUGAGUAACGCGCAUGCAACCUACCUUUGGCACGGGGACAGCCCGGGGAAACCCGGAUUAAUACCCGGUAUAGUCUAUUAUACACCUAUAUAAAAGACGAGAGCUACGGCGGCCAAAGAUGGGCAUGCGUGCCAUUAGUUAGUUGGUAGGGUAACGGCCUACCAAGGCAUCGAUGGCUACGGGGUCUAAAAGGAUGAGCCCGCACACUGGUACUGAGACACGGACCAGACUCCUACGGGAGGCAGCAGUGAGGAAUAUUGGUCAAUGGGUGGAAGCCUGAACCAGCCAUGCCGCGUGCAGGAAGACGGCCUUAUGGGUUGUAAACUGCUUUUCUACGGGACGAACGGCUCUGACGUGUCAGAGAUUGACGGUACCGUAGGAAUAAGCAUCGGCUAACUCCGUGCCAGCAGCCGCGGUAAUACGGAGGAUGCGAGCGUUAUCCGGAUUUAUUAGGUUUAAAGGGUGCGUAGGCUGGGCAAUAAGUCAGUGGUGAAAGUCCGCGGCUCAACCGUGGGAUUGCCAUUGAAACUGUUGUUCUUGAGUACAGUCGAGGUAGGCGGAAUGUGUAAUGUAGCGGUGAAAUGCAUAGAUAUUACCCAGAACACCGAUUGCGUAGGCAGCUUACCAGCCUGGAACUGACGCUGAUGCACGAAAGCGUGGGGAGCGAACAGGAUUAGAUACCCUGGUAGUCCACGCCGUAAACGAUGAUCACUCGCUGUUGGCAAUAUAGAGUCAGCGGCUGAGCGAAAGCAUUAAGUGAUCCACCUGGGGAGUACGUCGGCAACGAUGAAACUCAGAGGAAUUGACGGGGGCCCGNACAAGCGGGGGAACCAUGUGGUUUACUUCGAUGAUACGCGAGGAACC
rnacentral:rRNA from 1 species